rnacentral:rRNA from 1 species
UACGUAGGUGACAAGCGUUGUCCGGAUUUACUGGGCGUAAAGAGCGCGCAGGCGGUCGAUCAAGUCGAGUGUGAAAGCCCCCGGCUCAACUGGGGAGGGUCAUUCGAUACUGAUCGACUCGAAGGCAGGAGAGGGUAGUGGAAUUCCCGGUGGAGCGGUGAAAUGCGUAGAGAUCGGGUGGAACACCAGCGGCGAAGGCGGCAUCCUGGCCCUGUACUGACGCUGAGGCGCGAUAGCGUGGGGAGCAAACGGG